CACGUAGGGUGCGAGCGUUUGUCCGGAAUUAUUGGGCGUAAAGAGCUCGUAGGCGGUGUGUCGCGUCGGCCGUGAAAACCUGCAGCUUAACUGUGGGCGUGCGGUCGAUACGGGCAUCACUGGAGUUCGGCAGGGGAGACUGGAAUUCCUGGUGUAGCGGUGGAAUGCGCAGAUAUCAGGAAGAACACCCGUGGCGAAGGCGGCUCUCUGGGACGGUACUGACGCUGAGACGCGAAAGCGUGGGGAGCGAACAGG
rnacentral:rRNA from 1 species